GGGCCAUAUAGCUCAGCGGAAGAGCAUCUGCCUUGUAUGCAGAAGGUCCCAGGUUCAAUUCCUGGCAUCUCCA